CAUUAAUUUAAAUGAAUCAUAGACAGGUGAAGACAGAACAAGAAAACAAACCAAGAAUUUCCCCUCACCAGCCACCAGCUCUGCCAGCAACUUGAUCUUAGACUUCCCAGCCUCCGUAACGCCUCUGCUUAUAAUCUGUCAUGGAUUGGAAAACUAGAAAAAACAGUUUACAGAGUAUAACAAACUUUGGAGGAGUUAAUCGACUCUAAGUAAAAGAGUAUCUAGCACGGCUGUGGAACAAAGGAGAGACUCACAAACUGUUGAAAGAAUAAAUGAAUGAAUGAAUUCUGUUCAUGAGCUUUAAUAAAACAGCUCUGAGUAGUAACAGUGGAUCAAAUUUAGGCUUCUUGAUGCAGGCAUGGUGUAGAUUACUACUUCUGUAUUGUCCCAGGAGCUCAGCACAUUCCUGCAGAGAUGAUAGGAGCUCAUCUGAUACUUGUCAGCUUUGAAUAAACUCCAGUCCCCAAGAGAGAGAAUGAGAAUCACCGGAAUACGAAACUUCCCUGUUGGACUUCCCAACAUUCUUGAAUGCACCAAGAUAGCCUCUUGCUGUGAGAUUAAUAAAUGAA
rnacentral:lncRNA from 1 species